AACUCUUCUGGAAGAGCAGACAAGUGCU
rnacentral:piRNA from 1 species